rnacentral:rRNA from 1 species
UGGGGAAUAUUGCACAAUGGGCGCAAGCCUGAUGCAGCCAUGCCGCGUGUAUGAAGAAGGCCUUCGGGUUGUAAAGCACUUUCAGUCGGGAGGAAGGUGUCAAGGUUAAUAACCUUGGCAAUUGACGUUACCGACAGAAGAAGCACCGGCUAACUCCGUGCCAGCAGCCGCGGUAAUACGGAGGGUGCAAGCGUUAAUCGGAAUUACUGGGCGUAAAGCGCACGCAGGCGGUUGAUUGAGUCAGAUGUGAAAUCCCCGGGCUUAACCCGGGAAUUGCAUCUGAUACUGGUCAGCUAGAGUCUUGUAGAGGGGGGUAGAAUUCCAUGUGUAGCGGUGAAAUGCGUAGAGAUGUGGAGGAAUACCGGUGGCGAAGGCGGCCCCCUGGACAAAGACUGACGCUCAGGUGCGAAAGCGUGGGGAGCAAACAGG